GGGUAAGUAAAAUGGUUUAGUUUUAGUAUGAUUAAUAUAUUAUCUGUAGUUUUAAUUAUUAUUAUAUAAAUAGUGAAAUUUGGUGGUAGGGUGUAAUUGAAGUUUAUGUUAAUAUUUUAUGUGGUGUUAAGUUUAAGGUAUAAACUGGAAUUAGAUACUCCAUUAUACUUAAAAGAAAAAGUGAUAUUUAAGUAGUAAUCAGAUAUGGUCUCGAAACUUAAAGAAUUUGGCGGUAUUUAAGUCUAGUUAGAGGAACCUGUGCUAUAAACGAUAGUCCACGAAUAUCUGUCUUUAUUUUGUAUUUUCAGUUUGUAUACCGCCAUUGAGGUGAUUUAAAAAUAAGAGCACUUAAAUAGAGAUUGUCUUAAAUGUUAGGUCAAGGUGCAGUUAAUAAUAAAGUAGUUAUGGGUUACAUUGUUUCAAAAAUAUAACGGAUAAUAUUUGGAAGAAGAUAUUUGAAGGGGGAUUUAAUAGUAAGAUAUUUAAUUAAAAAUAUUUGAUAGUAGCUCUUAAAUAUGUACAUAUUGCCCGUCACUCUCGCUUU
rnacentral:rRNA from 1 species